GUUUCUUGACUCACUCUGGGUGGAAUUCCACAUUGGAGAGUAUAGUUGAAGGAGUGCCCAUGAUUUGCUGGCCGAGGUUCGCUGAUCAGCAAGUGAAUAGUAGAUUCAUUGGAGAGGUUUGGAAGAUGGGACUUGACAUAAAAGAUACAUGUGAUAGAGAUAUCAUUGCAAAAUCAGUUAGAGAAUUGAUGGAGAAGAGAAAUGGUGAAUUCUCGCAAAGAACAGAGCAGAUGGCAAGUUUGGCAAAAAAAGCUAUCAACGAAGGUGGAUCGUCAUGCAUUAAUCUGGACCGUCUUAUACAGGACAUAAGAUCUGUGAUUCCGCCACAUAAACAGACAUGAUUCAGUUGACACUUGAUUUUGUUAGCUGUGAUUAUAUUGUUGCCUGGAGAUCGCUGAUUAUUAUGCUCAGUGCUCAUUCUGAAUAACUCUAGCAACAUAUGUAGCUUCACUUUUACAACUUACAAGUAGCUUUACAUCAAUAAAUAAACAAAGCUUUUACAAUUGGGGAGUUAAAGAAAAAU
rnacentral:misc_RNA from 1 species